rnacentral:rRNA from 1 species
UGGGGAAUAUUGCACAAUGGGCGCAAGCCUGAUGCAGCCAUGCCGCGUGUAUGAAGAAGGCCUUCGGGUUGUAAAGUACUUUCAGCGAGGAGGAAGGCGUUGUGGUUAAUAACCGCAACGAUUGACGUUACUCGCAGAAGAAGCACCGGCUAACUCCGUGCCAGCAGCCGAGGUAAUACGGAGGGUGCAAGCGUUAAUCGGAAUUACUGGGCGUAAAGCGCACGCAGGCGGUCUGUCAAGUCGGAUGUGAAAUCCCCGGGCUCAACCUGGGAACUGCAUCCGAAACUGGCAGGCUAGAGUCUUGUAGAGGGGGGUAGAAUUCCAGGUGUAGCGGUGAAAUGCGUAGAGAUCUGGAGGAAUACCGGUGGCGAAGGCGGCCCCCUGGACAAAGACUGACGCUCAGGUGCGAAAGCGUGGGGAGCAAACA